UCCUGGCUGGCCCAUUUGGUAGAGCAUGGGACUCUUGAUCCCAGGGUUGUGAGCUUGAACCCCAUGUUGGGUG
rnacentral:tRNA from 1 species